UCUUCCACAAUGGACGAAAGUCUGAUGGAGCAACGCUGCGUGCGUGAUGAAGGGUUUCGGCUCGUAAAACACUGUUGUAAGAGAAGAAUGACAUUGAGAGUAACUGUUCAGUGUGUGACGGUAUCUUACCAGAAAGGAACGGCUAAAUACGUGCCAGCAGCCGCGGUAAUACGUAUGUUCCAAGCGUUAUCCGGAUUUAUUGGGCGUAAAGCGAGCGCAGACGGUUGUUUAAGUCUGAAGUGAAAGCCCACAGCUUAACUGUGGAAGUGCUUUGGAAACUGGAUAACUUGGGUGCAGUAGAGGAGAGUGGAACUCCAUGUGUAGCGGUGAAAUGCGUAGAUAUAUGGAAGAACACCAGUGGCGAAGGCGGCUCUCUGGACCGUAACUGACGUUGAGGCUCGAAAGUGUGGGUAGCAAACAG
rnacentral:rRNA from 1 species